rnacentral:lncRNA from 1 species
UCAGUCGAGUUCAUAAAACGAGUACUUCAGAAUUCAAACAUAAAAAUUUUAUUCAGAGUUUAAAAGCAGCAAAAAGAAAAUACGUUCAUCUAUCGUCGAUUCGGAUACCACGAUGAAGCUCGUACAUGGCAUCACUCGGCAGAGUCAUUGUUGGCCGAGAACUGAUCUCACUCCCCGGACCAACCAGGCAGCAAGGUACAAGGCCAAGUCAAACCAGCUAUAAUUUCUUCAAAAGACACACCUGAAAAUAAUACCACAAGC